rnacentral:rRNA from 1 species
AGUGAACGCUGGCGGUAGGCCUAACACAUGCAAGUCGAACGGCAGCACAGUAAUAGCUUGCUAUUACGGGUGGCGAGUGGCGGACGGGUGAGGAAUACAUCGGAAUCUACUUUUUCGUGGGGGAUAACGUAGGGAAACUUACGCUAAUACCGCAUACGACCUACGGGUGAAAGCAGGGGAUCUUCGGACCUUGCGCGAUUGAAUGAGCCGAUGUCGUAUUCGGUAGGUGGCGGGGUAAAGGCCCACCAAGGGGACGAUCCGUAGCUGGACUGAGAGGAUGAUCAGCCACACUGGAAGUGGGACACGGUACAGACUCCUACGGGAGGCAGCAGUGGGGAAUAUUGGACAAUGGGCGCAAGCCUGAUCCAGCCAUACCGCGUGGGUGAAGAAGGCCUUCGGGUUGUAAAGCCCUUUUGUUGGGAAAGAAAAGCAGCAGGUUAAUACCCCGCUGUUCUGACGGUACCCAAAGAAUAAGCACCGGCUAACUUCGU